CCCCUAUGUGCUCCUAAAAGUUUCUAGUCUGAGCAUUUUUAGCUGGUACUUUCAAAAUCACCAGGGUCUGUCAAAGUUGGGUCCUGUGAAAAAUGUACACAGCUAAAUGGAGCAUAUGCUGUCAAUACAGCAGACAGGAUCUAUUACAGUAUCUGAGUGCCCCCUAGCGUAUGUAUCGUUUCUGCCUCAAAUCAACAUUCAAUUCGGAGGAGCCUUCCGACAUGGAAACUGCCUGGGUCUCUCGUCUCUCACAGUGACCAAAGUAGCGUGCGCCCAUUUCUAACUGAUUCAUAUUUAAGAAAAUGUCUUCUUAUUGACUUGGACGUCAUCGAGGUAUGCGUGUUGAUCACUGUUUCGCCUUUUCAUAAACAUAGCCUGAGCUCCGUAGGCACAGGGAUUUUUUGUAUUUUGCUUUUAAUCAUUGAUUGAUAUAGGCUGAUAAUUGGUCUUGAGCGUAACACUUUCAUUCUAAAGCAAACUGCAUGGUCUAAAUGAUAUCACUGUCUGCAGUUUAUUGUAUUGUUUUAUUGUGGAUUCUACCUGACCACUCCAUUGUGACUGGUGACCUCCACUUGACAGAUCUGCUCCUGGCUUUCCUGAGUGUCAGACUGCUGAGACAUGAAGAAGACCAACCUGCUGACUCAGGAUCCACCUCAACACAGAGGUCCCCCUUUGGCCUUCAGCUCAUCAAUUCAAUUAAUAUGUUCAUUUCAAUAAAGCCAAAAUGGAAAAUUAUCCAUUUAAAAGUAAGGCACUUUCCAUUGAAACAAGGGAAACCCCACAUUUGUGUGGUUGAGCCAUGAAUCAUCAUAUGGCAUGUGUGGCGAUUGCAUUUAGAGAGUGAUCAGAGACAGUACCAAAGACUGGAAACAUCCCAUACUCGGCACUAGAUUUAAUGAGUGCCGAGUUGUAGUAUUUACAACAGUGCCAAAAAGGCUCAGCUAUGUUCAGGAAGCAUGUGAAGUGUCUGCAAUAAAAAAACAUUGUCAAACAAGAUUUGGGAACAAUUACAUAGACAGAUAGUGUAAUGUUUAUAUGAUCCCCCCAAACCAGAGCAGCUGCAGUAACCAGACCAGCAACAUAACCAUGCCCCAUGUGACUACGUCUUUCAUCUAGUUGAGAGGCCAGUAGUUUGUUAAUUUUACAUCAGUUCUCACAAUUUAUCAUGCCUACACUGUGAAACAUUUCAACAAUUGUACUUACAUUGUGGCCAAACGUCUUGAACUUCAGAUGAACAAUUGGACAUUGCUUGUUGUUGACUAGGGUAAUCACUAGCUACCAUGCAUGCAGCUUUGGCUAUUAUGUGUCAUUGCUAUUUUAGAAGUAACCACUGUAAGUUUCUCAUUGCUAGCUAUUUGAACUAACAUUAACGGUAGUUUGUGACAUCCAACCUUUAUGGGUGUGAUGUGAUAUACUAAAUACAUUGGACAUGAAUGCGUAUAAUUUUGUAUCCGGGACAAAACAUUAUUGUGACGGUAUCAGCUGUGCAUGCCGGAGAACUUUCCGCAACACAGUUGUUGGCAAAAAUGUGGGUUUUACACAUCAUAAUUAUCACCUUUAACAGUUGAAGUAGCAAAAAUCUAGGAUGAAGUUGUAUAUCUAAAUAAUUUACUGUACCAGGCAUAGGAAAGGUAAUAUAUUGCAAGUAACUAAAGGAAUGUUAAGGUAAAGCUACAAAAUAACAAUAUUUUAAACUGUCUAGCCACCCUUGAAACUCCUACACAUCUUGUUCGAAAUGGCAGCUCUAUCAAGAUAAUCAUCUGAAUGAAUCUGUUACACCACGACCUAUCAGGCUUGUAAUUAUUCAUUGAGACCCUUCAGGCUAAACCAAAGUAGUGAAUGACCAGGAAGUCACCUUAUUGUCUAUACAACUCAUCAUAUCAGGUCAUAAACUGGCUAAUGCUUCAGGUCAUAUGCUUUUCUUGUUGUAACAUUUGUUAACGUUAGCACCGAUGAGCACAUGAGUAGCAGCAGAUUGCAUAGCUUUUGUCCAAACCAUUUCCUUAUUGUGCAAGAAAUAAUCCUUUAUUCAAUUUAUGUCUGAGGAGGCUUUUUAAAACAUAUUUUCACAAGAUCAGUAGAUCAGUGUUAACUAAUACGACCACUUGGCCCUCUAUGGUCUAGAUUUUCCUUCACGUAUGAAACAUUAGCAGAGCUCACUGCUGAGAAGGGUGUGGCUGUGGCUAUAUCUCUGGGAGAAGGGCACAGCUCCUGACAGAAAGGUAAUGCUGUUGAUACUCUCAUGUCUAGGUCUCAGCGCUACCAGACCAUGGACCCCUUGCUCCCCAUUUAUCCCUCUGUCAAUUUGCAGAUCAUGUAAAAUCAAACUGAAACUGCUGUGAGAAAUGUCUCCAUAUAUUUAAUCCCUGACUGAAAUUACAAGUCAGGUUGGUUUCUCUAAUGAAAUCUUACUCUACAUAAUGAACACAGUGGAAGUCAGCAUUCUCACCAUAGGUAAACAUCCCAAUGACCUUAUUAUACAUUUUGACUUUGUCAGCUUCCUUUUUUAAUGAACUUAGUGUCAAUGACUAAUGUAAACUAAGGGCAUGAAUAGGAAUAUCAACAGUACACAAAUAGGAUUCAUUACAGGAUUUGGGUCACACUGCUCAUAGACUUAGGGCUCUAUUCAAUCCGCAUCGCAGAAGUUCAGCUUUACAGCGUGAAUGAAAUUUAAAGGCAAUGUUCCCGCCUCAGUGGAGACUGCUUUCACAGUAAACACUGCAUCAAUCAGAAAUUACCUUUACAUUUCUAUUGCGGAAUCUGUAGUGCUUCAGCCUUACAUAUUCAAUAGAGCCCUUAGGCUGUUACUUGUUCAAAAUGUACAACUCAGGUCACGCUUGAAAAAUGUCUUUAAACAAAGAGAAAUGCUGAACUUUGUCAAGCACCAUGUGUAGGCUAGAAUACCCAUUCUGACAUAGCAGUUGUAUUCUGCAAUUGCGUAAAUUAUGUUGACCUGUAGAUGAACAAAGAAAUAUGAAAAGACUUUGUACAGAAUUCCUGUGCAAUGAGUCACCUUCUCUCAUGUAAUUGUUUCCAUAUUAGACCCCACUCACCCCUUCUUGCAAGAACAUCCCUUCCAAAGGAAUACUCGUGUUAUGAUUUGUUUACAAUCACUCUGUCCAAUUCCACCUGCUGACAAGAGGUACCUCAGGGUACAGUGUUGUUACCCUUACUAUUUGUUUACCCACAGCAGAACUCAGACACAUUCUGGAUAUGAACAAAUAGGUGUUUUCCAUAUAUACAGCUAUAGUUACAGAGUGAUCGCUAGAAAUAGACAGCAAUUUCAGAUUCUGAAAAGGUCCCGAGAACAAUUAUAUAUGCCUUCCUCUGUGCUCACCAAAAAGAAAAGAAAAAUGACUGCCCAGCACUAGGAAUGAACUCUUGAUGCUCAGAGCUGGAGCUCAAUUGCAGUUCACACAGAUAACCACAAAACAAAGAUGGCGAUUUCCAGAAGUUUAAAAAAAGUUCAGAGAACAUUGAUAUAUGCCGCCUUCUGCGCUCACCCAAGAAAUGAAAAAUGAUUUCCCAGCAUUAGAAGCGAAUUUGUGAUGCUCGGAGGAGAAGCCUGCUGCUUAAACCACUGCGCUACGCAAUUCACAAAGCUCAGCAAGCCACGGGAAUACUGAGAAUACGGAUUAUACCUGAUGGUAAUAGCGCGUCAUUUUACAUUAUUUUGUUUUAAGCCUUCCCCAAACCAUAGCCCUGACCUUAACCACUCAGUAUUAAUACCUAAACUUCACCCUUUGAGUUGUUUCUAUUUCGAUCCUGUAACGCGCAAAAAUAGAUGUUCAUACAUAUUACGUUGAAUUUAAAAGGGAAACUAGGAGAUCUUGUUGAGAGUUAGGUCUGUAUCUGGAGGGGAUAAUCUUAUUUGUGGUCUCACUGAGUCAUUCCUCUUUGUUGUAAUGACUAAGGUGUUGGAUUGACAAUCUCAGAGACCCAGGUUCAAGUCCCAGUAGGGCUACCACUGAAUUAGCUAUAUUGUUGUCAGAAGUGGGUUGGCACUGCUGGGAGAGCCAUUGGUACGGGAGCAAGAAACUUGUGCAAAUUAAGCACAGGAAAGCACUUUCUGAAGGAAAGGCGUAGUGUAACAACCUUAGUACAACACCUACUGACUUUGUUAAUUGUUGUACAAGAUCUACCAACUUCGUCGGUUGUUGUACAAUACAAAACCUACCAACUUCGCCAAUUGUUGUUCGACAGUAUUUUCCACAUAAUUGUAGAAACCACUCAGCACCUAGGAACAGGACAGCUCUUAUAAUAAAACUGUUAUGUCUUGUUUGUGAGUCCUGUAACAAAAAAUUAUUCCAGGCCUCAGCAUUACUUACACAAGGCUGUUAAAAAGGUCUUUGUCACUUUGGCACACUGCACCUACACAGUAUUUGCCAGCAGCACCACCAUCAUCAUAGGAUCUACUUUCUUUCUUUCUUUCUUUCUUUCUUUCUUUCUUUCUUUCUGUUUCUUCAAGUUUGCAUUGUGCAUUGACUGUGCUGGUCAUGAGCUUGUGUCAGCCAAUGCAGGACAAAGCCCCCAUAAACUAUAACACCACUUCCUGCACGGCUCAAGGUGAAAUGGUAGCAUAAACUAUCAGACACUUCAUUAUAAUAUCGGUUUACAUAUCCAGGACACUAAAAAGUAGGGGCCAUUUCAUCAAGCUAAUUGCCUGUUUGUAAGAGGGAGCAAACUUUUCCACCAUCAGUCUAUUAUGGAGCCUGUUUCUUAAUCACAAAUAGAGCCUUUGUAUCCCAGAGGGACUUGCAUUCUAAUGUAUAAUUGAACCAAAGACCAAAGCUAUCAAUCUUUCACAGACACUUUAGUUAUUUUUCUCCUCCUUGGUGUAAUUGUGGUGACAUACAGUAACAACAAACACUGUGAAAAGGCUGCUUCCACAGAUCUGUGGAAAGGAUGCUAUUCCUUGUUUAUUAUGUACAGUGCUUGCAUUGUAGAGUGGAACCAGAUACCCUAUCAAUAAUAAAGAUCAAGGUGUCCAGACCUCUGUAUGACCAACUUUAAACUUUAAAAGGACAGGAACUUUGGCCUUUGGAAUCCAAGAGCAGCAAUCACUCAUCUAAGGAUCUCUAAGGGAGAGAGAAUGUUCUCUUUUGCAUGGUCAAAAUUAAGUAAUGGUGCUGUAAUACAUGUGGUACCGCAAAAAAAAUAUAUAUAUGUGAUCGGGAUUUUGGAGAAGCUUGACUAUUCUGGUGUGCAGACCAGUGUCUGAUGACAUGAAAAUGGCUGAGUUGACA
ensembl:lncRNA